CGGAGUGUAGCUCAACCUGGCAGUCUGCUGCACAUCUGAUCCAUUGGUUCCCGGUUCAAAUCCGGGCACUCCGACCA
rnacentral:tRNA from 1 species